GCAAGGAUGGGCCAAGAUGUGGGUGGUGCUGAUGGACAAAGAGGCAGUGACUGGCUGGAUGACAAUGAGUAUGGGGGAAAUCGAAUGAAUGGAUAGAAAUGGUGAAUUCUUUUAUUUCCAUGUGUGGGUGGCACGUAAUAAAUAGAUGGCAUCAAACCACCUACAAAUGUUUUCUACUACUAUUUUCAAAGAGAGGACUAUUAGAGACAACGCACCAACAUAUUGUGAAUCGAAGCCAACUUAUUAGGAAUAAGCGAAUAAUAACGUGAGAGCAAGAAGGACCCCAAGCAACACACUAGCAUUUUU
rnacentral:lncRNA from 1 species